GUGUACAUUUUGGACCCUACUCCUAUUAAUCCAAUGUACCGAUACAACCCACUCGCAAAAUAUGUGAAAAAAAUUAUAUGGAUUUCCGAACAUUUACCGAAAGCAAUGUCAAAAGCAUGCCCUGGGUCUAGAUGGAACGAGGAUAUUCUCUUAUGGCAUCAUAGAAUCCUAGAUGAUAUUCCAGUUUACAACAGGGAACUGUCUGGUUAUCUUGUUCCCCUAUUCAUGUCCACAUGGGAAGACGAAAGACCACAUUUGCCAUUUUUAAAGGAUGGAUAUGAACUCAGAAAACUAAUUUUGGGCCAACUACUAACAUUCAAGGACAAUGAAUGUGAAGAUAACAUGACUGCUGGUGUACUGGACUUCAUCAAUUGUAUUAGGAAAAUCCAAAGUUAAACGGGGAGCUCAAUCGGUGGAAGGUAAUUUGUCAGAGAGAUUUCUUGCAGCCAACAGUUAAUAGACAAUGAGCAGGGAGACGAUGAACAUGUAGAGAUGCAACAUGAACAACAAUUAAUGAUGUACCUUCAUCUGCAUGAAGAACGAAGAUUUUUCAUGAUUUUAUAUAUCCUAGAACAUUUUCUGGUUGAUUAUACUUGGUUGUCGUAUCAAUUUAUAGUGUUCGAUUGUUAGAUUUUGUUUAGUAACCACUACUUGCUAGAGAGAAGGGAAGGGACGUGUAUUCAGUGAUUACUUCAUGUCGCUAGA